GGGGACGUAGUAUAACCUGGCUAGAAUAUCAGGCUCCAGACCUGAGGAUCGGGGUUCGAAUCCCCGCGUCCCCA
rnacentral:tRNA from 1 species